AUGCGAAAGGUGCAAGCGUUGUUCGGAUUUACUGGGCGUAAAGAGAGUGUAGGUUGUUUAUUAAGUCGGAUGUGAAAUCCCGGGGCUCAACCUCGGAACUGCAUUCGAUACUGAUAGGCUAGAGUUUGGGAGGGGUAAGCGGAAUUCCGUGUGUAGCAGUGAAAUGCGUAGAUAUACGGAGGAACACCUGAGGCGAAGGCGGCUUACUGGACCAAUACUGACACUGAGACUCGAAAGCGUGGGUAGCAAACAGGAUUAGAAACCCUAGUAGUCC
rnacentral:rRNA from 1 species